UCCGUAGGUGAACCUUCGGAAGGAUCAUUA
rnacentral:rRNA from 3 species